rnacentral:misc_RNA from 1 species
GAUGAAGAACGUAGCGAAAUGCGAUAAGUAAUGUGAAUUGCAGAAUUCAGUGAAUCAUCGAAUCUUUGAACGCACAUUGCGCCCCCUGGUAUUCCGGGGGGCAUGCCUGUUCGAGCGUCAUUUCACCACUCAAGCCUCGCUUGGUAUUGGGCAACGCGGUCCGCCGCGUGCCUCAAAUCGACCGGCUGGGUCUUCUGUCCCCUAAGCGUUGUGGAAACUAUUCGCUAAAGGGUGUUCGGGAGGCUACGCCGUAAAACAACCCCAUUUCUAAGGUUGACCUCGGAUCAGGUAGGGAUACCCGCUGAACUUAAGCAUAUCAAUAAGCGAAGGA